AUGGGAAGGGUGCAUCUUAAAGGAAGUUCUUUCGAGAGCAUCAGUCUGGAUCUCAAACUCAGAUUCCCCUCCACGACCUGUUUCCCUGUGUGUAAGUGGAGACCUCGGUCCCUGCCUUGUGGGGCUUCGCUGAGGCCCAGCGUGACGCUGAGCGAGGAGAGAAGGUCUCGUGCCCGGCCGGGCAGCCUGAGCCGGGUUAUUUAUGGGUUUCCGCCGGGAGGGGGCCGCGGGCCGCGCGCCGUGUCUGACCUGAAUUCUUACACUUACAGGAAAUUGGAGCCCUUGGAAGCAGGUGCGCUGGUGAUCCCAGCACCCGGGUGGCCGCGAGGAAUUGCAACCCGAGAUGGAGAGAUUUCUUCUCAUUCCAGCAACCUAGGAAGACUUCCUGCACAAGGCGACAGGCUGGUACAAUGGCGAGAAGGCUGGCUUUGGGGAUCCCGAGCUCGGACGCCGCCUGGCACGGAGCCGGUCAUAACUGGACACCUGCGCUGCCCCAGCGCACGCACCUGGCUGAAGCUCCCUUCCGUCCUGGGAGCUUGCUGGUGUCUUAGAGCCGUGUUUCCUGGGAAGACACAGAGGACAGAGGGGUGA
rnacentral:lncRNA from 1 species